rnacentral:lncRNA from 1 species
AAAGAAACUGAGGAGCAGCCACGUGAGCACAGCAAGAAGUCGGCCCUUUACAAGCCAGGACGUGGGUCCUCACAAGAAACUGAAUCGUCUGGCAUCUUGAUCUUGGACUUUCAGCCUCCAGAACUGUGAGAAACAAAAGUUUUCUGUGUAAGCCACCCAGUCUGUGGCAUUUGUUAUGGCAGCCCCAAGCCAAUCAAGACAGCCACGGUCCUUAAACAAUGGCCCACAAGACCCUGCAUGUCCAGCCCCUCGCCUGCUUUCUGACCACCUCUCAGACUCCUCUUCCCUGCUUGCUUUCUCCAGCCACCCUGGCCUGCUUGGGAUUCCCUGAAUGCACAGAGCACAUUCCUACCCCAGGGCCUUUGCAGCCCAUCCCUUCCGCCAGGUACACUCUUCUUCCAUGGCAAAGUCCUUCAUUUCCUUCAAUCCUUUAUUCAAAAGUCACCUUCUCAAUGAGGCUGACCAUGAAAACUAUUUAAAACUGCAACUCACCUCCCCCACCCAGCACUUCCCAUCCACCUUACAUCUUCCACUUUUAAAUUUUUUUUCCACGCACUUAUCGCUUUCUGGCAUACGGUAUUCUUUAUUAUGUUUCUUGUCGAUUGCCUGUGACCACCUGCAAGAAUGUAUCUUCCAGAAGAACAGAAAUACUUGUCUGUUUUGUUCACUGAGGAAUCCCAAUGGCCUAGAACUAUGCCUGGCACACAGUUUCUGUUCAAUAAAUAUUUUUUGAUUGAAUGGGCAAACCUCCUCACCCCUGGUGAAACAGCCUGCUAGCCAGGGAGACCAUGUCAUACCAGGAUUGCCCAGCAGAUGGCAGCCGGUGAACGCCAGAGACAGCCGGGAGCCUACGCUGAACUCAAGGUUCCUCCCAGUUAUUAGUUCAAGAUAGCAACCCAGGAAACAAAAUCGAGUUCAACUUACUCCUAAGGCAGACUUGUAUUCAUGAGAAAGAGGGUGUAUGUAGGAGGUGAGCUGCUGAGCUGAUAGAGCCUUUAUCUGAUACAGGAGGCUGUUUACCCACAAUUCACGGUGAAAAACUGAAAACAGCUGUUGAGAAGAACCGAGGUCCCAGUCCUCCCACGGUGGGAAAAGGGGGUGAAAAAGGUCUGCAGCCGGGGAUCUGCAUCCCUCCUCCAAAGGAUGGCAAAGUGACAUUUUCCCGCUACCACCGAGGGAAAGAAGUGACACUAAGAACUAACGCAUCGCCUGGGAGGUGGACGUUUCCUGCCUUCCUCCGAAUACGCCGGAAGAUGCUCUAGUGCAAGAACGUGGAGUCUCCCUCUGCAGUACUGUCCUCUGGGCCCUCCCGAAGUUGCCCUCUUCUUGGUGCUUCUGUUACCCGUGCAAUCAGGGAAUUGAGUUCCCCUGGUAACAAAACCUUCAAAAGCCAAGUCCAAGGUGAACCUACCUUGGAUCAAAUUCGGCAUUUGAGUGUGUCAGGCUAAGGGGAGGCUCCAAGGCAGAUGCUGCUUGUGAAUCUGAGUCUGCUGACCGAGAACUCUCUAAGCCAGCAGGUCAACUUGGUUUCUGCUGCGCUGACGACAAGGGCAAGCAUUUACUGGGCACUUCCUGUGUGCCAGGCAAGUGCUGAGUGCAUCACCUGAACUAGCUCAUUAAUCCUCAGAGAAGCUCUCUGAAGUCCACACUGUCCUCAUCCCCGUCUCACAGAGGACACAAGAGAACUGUCACUUGCCCCAGGACCCAGCAAGUGGCUCUCAAACUCACUCUCAACCACAGGGAGGGAGGGAUCUGCUGAGAUGCACCAUGGAUCCUGAUGGACCUCAGAGAACAGUUAAUCCGGUCCCUCUGUUCACAGAUGGAGAAGCUGAGUCCCAGAGAGGGGAAGGGACUGGCCCAAGUCCACACAGAGAAUGGAAAAGCCUGCCCGAGCACAGCGCACUAAGAAUUAUCCUGCGCCUUGACAUUCUUGGCUAGUGUCAGGAGGUCCCCCUAAGCCCUGAGUCACAGGUUUUUAUUUUAUUUUCCCCAGAUUCCAAAGUGGCUUCAGUCCUUCGUGGGACUAAACACGUCGGCAUAAGAUCUUGUCAAAACAACAGCACAUCCCUUGUUUUAGGACUUUCAUCGAGGAGUAGACUGUCCCACCAGGAUCACCGGCCUCUUGUGAUGUGAAUUCUGGCUUCUGCAGGUCAUUAGCUCGUGUCCCUGGUCAAGCCACUCAACCUCUGAGCUGGUUUGUUCAUCGGUAAAAUGGGGAUACCAAUAUUCGAGAAAGGGUGUAUUAUAUUCCAGGCCAGUGCUGUCCAACACAAAUGUAACGGGAGCCACAGGUGCCAGCGAGAGUGAGAGUUGGCAUCCUUUUAUUUCUUUUGCAAUAACUUUCUUAAGCUCAAGGAUGGAGGCGUGUUUGAUUUUGAAUUUUUUCCUUUUUCUUCUUCUCCCCAAAGCCCCCCAGUACUUAGUUGUAUAUUCUAGUUGCAGGUCCUUCUGGUUGUGCCAUGUGGGACGCCGCCUCAGUGUGGCCUGACGAGCGGUGCCAUGUCCGUGGCCGGCGUCUGAACCGGUGAAACCCUGGGCCGCUGAAGUGGAGCGCACAAACUUAAUCACUCGGCCACAGGGCCGGCCCCUGUGAUUUUAAAUUUUCUAGUAGCCACAUUAAAAAAAGGGUAAAGGAAAAAGCCUAUCUCAAUUUGGACUAGCCACAUUUCCCAUGCGCAGCAGCCACAUGUGGCCAGUGGCUACUGAAUUGGACAGCAUUGUUCUAGGCUUUGAUAAAUAUUCUGAGCACAUGGCCCCAUGUUAAGAGUCUGUGUAUUACCACACAAUCCAGCAAUUCCACUUCCGGGUAUAUACCCGAAGGAAACGAAAACAGGAUUUCAACAAGAUAUAUGCACACCUAUGUCUAUCUCAGCAUUAUUCACAAUAGUCAAGAUAUGGAAACAGCCUAAAUGCCCAUUAAUGGAUGAAUGGAUGAGAAAGAUGUGGUAUAUGUACACAAUGGAAUAUUAUUCAGUCACGAGAAAGGAGGAUAUCCUGCCAUUUGCAACAACAUAGAUGGGCCUUGAGCACAUUAUGCUAAGCAAGAUAAGUCGGACAGAGAAAGACAAGUACGCAGCACCUGGAUUAGCGUUUAGUUGAGUAAAUGAGGACUAUAACCUAGUCGAGCUGACAUAUAACAUCCGCCGUCACCAUCACCCCAAGCACGUUCUGAUGAGUUCUGCCUGCUCUUGGACUUCAAAUAAAUGGAAUCGUAG